ensembl:lncRNA
UUAUCGACAACAUUCAUUUUGGGAUGCUUGUGAAUUUCCAGCGUUGAAUGUGAGGAAAAAAACAACCACACCUACAGCUGAUGGAAUUUUUGAGCUUUGAUAAGAGUUUGCAACUCAAGUGCAGAGUCUGUUUCUGAACAGCCACCGCAUUUGACUUUACCAAAGUGAUAAAAAAUAGAUUUCUAGAGAUCAUUGUUUGGUUUAGGAAAUUGAUAGGUUCAGUCACGCUGGUUUAAAUUUCAUCUCAGUUUGCUUAAGGACUAUGAGACAAUACCAAAGCUGCUCAUCUGAGCUGAACUGGUGUCUAGUUUUAAAGCCAUGUAUGUAUCACAGAGUUGAGUUUUUCAAGUCAGUGUACAGUACAUGUCUGGGUAGUUUGCUGAUGUGACUGAUGAGCAGUGAGACAGUUUUUGUUUGUAUUAGAGGUGUCAGAUGAGGAUCUGUGUGGAAAGUGGGUGGAUGCAUGAUAGUAAACAGUAGCAGGACCAGGACAUCAAAGUAAUUGCCUUGGAAAACUGUUUUGGCCAAAACCUCCACAUAUUGUUACUGAUGAUUGAAUUAAUAUUACACCCUCAAUGUGACCAUGUUGUAUUAUUUACUGCAUAUUUGUAUACCAACUUGACAAUCAGCACUGGUUGUAAUUUAGCAUUGGAAAGACAGAGGUACUGAUUCUUGUUUCUGGUUGGUCUAUUAUAGCCAUAUCCUGCUUUGCCUGGUUUUACCUCAGUUUGCCAUUUUUUAAAAUGUUUUUAAUUCAUAAUUUGAGUUGUUCAAUGAGAAUAUUUUCUCCAAGCACCUGCAUUCCAGCAGUUUUUUUUUUAGGCUUUUUUUUCUGUAACUGCAAGUUGUUUCACUACAUCAGCCCAUUUUUGUCUAAAAAGAAAAAAGCCAAGUAAGUAACUGUCUCCUGGCAACAGCUUAAGACAUCAGAAUGCUGACUGAUUUAAAGGUAUGCUUGCGUUGAGCGUCAUGUCCUUGAAAAAACAGCAUCUUUGCACUGCAGUUACGUAUAGUUAUAAAUCACAUUUUUAAGUGGCCUAGUUGCAUAAACCAAGUAUCUGAAACAAGGACACCCUGCUUCGCAUGACUGGAACAAUCAAGAUUUCCUAGUAGAAAAGAUUGUCCAGCACCAUAAGUGGCUAUUUUCUUCACACUGUUACAUACAAACACUAAGAAUUGCAUCAUAUAUAUAACAGUAGUAUACAGUCAGUGCCUCAUGGUAUAAGAAAUUCUGCCUGAUGUUACGCCAAUUACAUCAAAAGAUUUUUUUCCCAUUUUAUCCUUAUGGAUUUUAUUUAAAGCCAUAUUAAACCGUAUCUCGUACUACAAUGACCUCAGAUCUGUUGUUGGAUCUGUUCUGUCUGCUUUAUGAGGUGUUUAAUGUUAUAUGAAUGUUCUUGUACUAUUUUCAUGUACGUAUUUAAAUAUUAAAUGUAUUUUAUGGAAUAUUAAACUUUUUAUACAUGAAACAUUUGUGGCCUGUAUUCUUUUAAUUCAUUAAACACAAAGACAUCAAUAACUUUUAAAAAGCCAGUUGUUACUUGAAUUUCAGGACAGAUUGGAUCCUUAAAGAGGGAGCAGUUUCUGUGUAAUUCAUGGGGUGCAAAUCUUUUAAUGCCAGGGAUUAAAAUGCUCCUGGUCUGAUUUAAUAACUU